rnacentral:tRNA from 1 species
AAAAUUAGUUUAUAUAAAAAAUAUUAAUCUGUCAGAUUAAUGAUACCAUAGGUAUUUUUUU